rnacentral:rRNA from 1 species
UACGGAGGGUGCAAGCGUUAUCCGGAUUCACUGGGUUUAAAGGGUGCGUAGGUGGGCUAGUAAGUCCGUGGUGAAAUCUCCAAGCUUAACUUGGAAACUGCCAUUGAUACUAUCAAUCUUGAAUACCGUGGAGGUCAGCGGAAUAUGUCAUGUAGCGGUGAAAUGCUUAGAUAUGACAUAGAACACCAAUUGCGAAGGCAGCUGGCUACACGAAUAUUGACACUGAUGCACGAAAGCGUGGGGAUCAAACAGG